rnacentral:rRNA from 1 species
GACGAACGCUGGCGGCGUGCUUAACACAUGCAAGUGGAGCGACGAACCAGGGCUUGCCCUGGGGCAAAGCCGCGAACGGGUGAGUAUCACGUGGGUAACGUGCCCCGAUGACCGGGACAACCCGAGGAAACUCGGGCUAAUACCGGAUGUGCUGUUCGGUCGCAAGACCGUCCAGUAAAGGAAGCUUCGGCCUCCGCAUUGGGAGCGGCCCGCGGCCCAUUAGCUUGUUGGUGAGGUAACGGCUCACCAAGGCCACGAUGGGUAGCUGGUCUGAGAGGACGAUCAGCCACACUGGGACUGAGACACGGCCCAGACUCCUACGGGUGGCUG